rnacentral:rRNA from 1 species
AGGGAAUAUUAGUAAUGGGCGAAAGCCUGAACUAGCAACGCCGCGUGUGCGAAGAAGGCCUUCGGGUUGUAAAGCACUUUUUGAGAGGAUGAGGAAGGACGGUACUCUCAGAAUAAGUCUCGGCUAACUACGUGCCAGCAGCCGCGGUAACACGUAGGAGGCAAACGUUAUCCGGAUUUACUGGGCGUAAAGCGCGUGUAGGUGGUUUGGUAAGUAGGGCGUGAAAGCUCCUGGCUCAACUGGGAGAGGACGUUCUAAACUGCCAAGCUUGAGGAUGGUAGAGGGAGGUGGAAUUCCGGGUGUGGCGGUGGAAUGCGCAGAUAUCCGGAGGAACACCAGUGGCGAAGGCGGCCUCCUGGACCACCCCUGACACUCAGACGCGAAAGCUAGGGUAGCAAACGG